GCCCCUCCAGAGUGUCUGAGCACAGUUUGAGUGUGGAGUGUGAGCUCUGCAGAGGCGAAGUGCUGCUCCCAGCUUGUGCCCCUGGGGCAGGAGUCAGCAGUGUGUUUACACACAGAGGCAGGGUGAUUCAGGUAAGAAAGGGCUGGUGGCUCGUCUACGCCAUGCAGCUUUUAGCGACAAGGCUGUGUCGACGCAGCCUUGUUGCAAAACGUCAGCAUGUGUAAAGGCUCUGUCGGUACUUUUGCAGACACAAUACUUCCCGUUCCAUUAGCUUUGUCAGCAGGAGAGCGCUCCGUCCGACAUAGUCGCAUUCACACUGCCACUUGCGUUGGCAAAACUAUUGUCUUUGGCCGGGGGGGGCUCUUUAAAUUUUGUCAACAACUUUGCAGUGUAGACGUACCCUUAGAUGUGCCUGUAAAGCAGAAAUCCCAGGGGUGGUGCCAGCGGGGGUUUGAAGACAGGAGGCAGGGGACUCUGAAAUGAGGGAGCUGUAAAAAAAAAAAAAAAAAAAAAAAAAAAGGGGGGGGG